CAGCCGCCACGGGAACACGGAGGGUGCAAGCGUUAAUCGGAAUUACUGGGCGUAAAGCGUGCGUAGGCGGUUCGUUAAGUCUGUUGUGAAAGCCCCGGGCUCAACCUGGGAAUGGCAAUGGAUACUGGCGAGCUAGAGUGUGUCAGAGGAUGGUGGAAUUCCCGGUGUAGCGGUGAAAUGCGUAGAGAUCGGGAGGAACAUCAGUGGCGAAGGCGGCCACCUGGGACAACACUGACGCUGAGGUGCGAAAGCGUGGGGAGCAAACAGGAUUAGAUACCCGUGUAGUCCCUGUCUCUUAUAC
rnacentral:rRNA from 1 species